AAUCUCUUCCCAACCAAAUAGGGGUUAGUUUCAGUUCGACGACGCUCACAGCAUCACUCUCAGUUCAAGAAUAAAAUACAGCUAUAACAAUUUCAUCUCUCUUGGAUGAAACUCAGUUGUGGCUGCCUUGUCUCUGUUCCCUGUUCUCGUACUCGGCAUCCCUGGUUCUCUUCGUUUCAACUAGCACCGCUUGAGCAGUCUUCACUUCAAGAGCUUCCUUCUGUUCAAGCUUCUCUCUCGAGCUUCACAGCGUGGCAAUCUGCAUCUCUUUCCAUGGCUUCUCCAAACUGAGCUUCUACAAACUCUAUAAACAUCCUAGGAGGAAAACACAGUAACAAGUUUGAGGAGAUGGAGGAUUCAACCAAAGGCGAAGUAAAAAAUCCCAGACUUGAAGAUCUUCGUCAACAUCUCAUCCACCACAUGAUGAAUUUUCUCCCUUACUGGGACGCAACCAAGUUGAGUGUUUUAUCCAAAGCCUUUUACUCUUUAUGGCUUUCCUUUCCUGUACUUCGCUUUGACUACAAAUUCUUUCAAGUAGAGAAAGACCCACAUGACAACUUCAGGUCUUUCAUCCUCAAAACCUUCCACCUUAGUUGCCCUCCCAAGUCUUUACAAAGGUUAAGCGUAUUUUACAUUGAAGGGUGUUCUACCUUCAAUUUGGUAUUUGAUGCAUUGCUGAACUUUGCAAUAGAGAACAACACUAAAGACACAGCAUCAAUUGCCCAAGAUUGAAAUCAGUAGAUGUGAAGGAGUGCAAAAUGUAAGAGUUUCAUCUUUGUCUCUAGAGAGGGCAAGCUUCAGUCAUUGUUUAGAGUUAAAAGAAGUUCAAUUGAAGGCAAAGAAUCUAUGGUAUUGUUCUUUUUAUGACAUUCACAAGCCAUGUGAAAUUAACUUAUCUGAUUGUGAAUCCAUAAAAGAUAUGUAUCUAUAUGGUGUAAGUGUCACAAAGAACUUGAUGGAAUUAGUCACUGGGAGUUUGAUCAUCAGUGGCUACUGUGGCUUUCCUGAGAACCUGCGUAUUCAUAGCCCUAGAAUUAAAAAGUUGCAGCUGUUUAGAAAUGCUAAACUGAAGAACCAAUUUCUCUUGCUCCCAAUCUAGAAUAUUUUUACGUCAAUGUUUCUUUGGCAGUAUACAGUAUCUCUGAAUGUGUGGCUCUCAACGUCCUGGACUUGUAAGCAGUAACUGUAACUAAUGAGUGGGUGAAGAGUACAAUAUCAGACUUAGGUUGUCUGAAGGAAUUAACAUUAUGUCAUUCUCAUAUGUAGCUGAAAAAUGACAAGCUUGAGAAGUUGUCAUUGAGGGCAUGUUUCAAUUUGAAAGAGGUCAUUGUUGAUGCGCCAAACUUGCUAAGACUUCACUAUGAAGAAGAACGAAUAUUCAUGCAUGUUUAUCCGAUCGUGAAAAUCUUACCAACCAAAUGCAGUUCUGCCAAAAUCAAAUUACCACCUUGCAAACAAAUUAUAGAUACUCACUUAUGGUUGGUAAUAUUAUGCACUUUCUCUCUUGCUUUGAUCACAUCAAAGACCUUACUAUUUUGAGCUCCAACGCAAAGGAUUUGACCUUCCCAAGAAAGUUUGUGAGAAAUAAUACCACUCCAUUGCGUGAUCUGAAGCAUAUUAGAGCACAAACUAAAUAUGAUCCACGAAAUCAAGCUAUUAUGAUGAAAUUAGUGCAAAGUUUGUUUUGGUUGGCUCAUAAACCUUUGACAAUUACAAUCUCCCACUAUUCCCCUACUAGCACCUUGAAGUCCUAAUUACCAAUAAGUGCUGGCUACACUCUAAACUCAAAGUGUCCAAAGCCUCAUUGAAUCUAUGAGAAGCGACUUGGAAGAGUUAUUUGCUCCUUCAUUGGUUUUGAUUUCCUUUAUGUUUUAAACGUCAG